GACCUACCUGGAUAUCUGUAGUAAUUCUAGAGCUAAUACAUGUACGCAAGCACCGAUCUCCGGAGAAGUGCGUUUUUAUUAGAAUAAGACUGGCGGCAGGGAGUAACUACCUUAGCCUGACCGUGUUGAUUCUGGGCAACUUAACCAAUCGCACGACCUUGAGCCGCCGGGAAGGUUCUUUUCAAAUGCUGAACCCUCCACUUAGUGGGCGGGGAGGGGGCGGAAAAAGAAUUUGACGGUAAAAAAAAAACCAGGUUCCAAUCCUGGCAGCAGGCGCGCAAUUACCCACUCCUGACCUAGGGAGGUAGUGACGAAAAAUAACGAUAGACGACUCAGUUGAGGCUGUCUAAUCGGAAUGAGUAUAGUCUAAAGCCUUGCACGAGGAGCCAGUAGAGGGCAAGUCUGGUGCCAGCAGCCGCGGUAACUCCAGCUCUACAGGCGUAAACGGGAUUUGUUGUAGUUAAAACGCUCGUAGUUGGGAUUGAACUUAGGCAGCGAGUGGUACGGGUCAGAGCACCUGCUACUGCAGCUGUCGGUCUUAGGCGAGGCCGUUUGCGGAUCCCCUUGAGUGGGCGUUCGCGAGCUCGUGUACGUUACCUUGAACAAAUGAGGGUGUUCAURGCAGGCUAGCACGCCUGAAUAGUCUAGCAUGGAAUAACAGAAUUUGACUCCGGUCUUUUUCUGCUGGUCUCUAGGACUCGGAGGGAUGAUCAAUAAGGACAAUCGGAGGCGAUAGUACUCUGGCGUUAGAGGUGAAAUUCUUGGAUCGCCGGAUGACUGACUACAGCGAAAGCAUUCGCCUAGCAUGUCCUUAUUAAUCAAGAACGAAAGUUAGAGGAUCGAAGACGAUCAGAUACCGUCCUAGUUCUGACCUUAAACGAUGCCGACAGGCAAUCGGUCGUCAGUACUUUGCAAACCCUUAGAUAUGACACGACCGGCGGCUCUCAGGAAACCAAAGUCUUUGGGUUCCGGGGGUAGUAUGGUUGCAAAGCUGAAACUUAAAGGAAUUGACGGAAGGGCACCACCAGGAGUGGAGCUUGCGGCUUAAUUUGACUCAACACGGGGAAACUUACCCGGCCCGGACACUGUAAGGAUUGACAGAAUGAAGCUCUUUCUUGAUUCGGUGGGUGGUGGUGCAUGGCCGUUCUUAGUUCGUGGAGCGAUCUGUCAGGUUAAUUCCGAUAACGAACGAGACUCUAGCCUACUAACUAGCGCAGGCAGUGUAAUGAGAUGUCGUAUUACUAAGAUACUUCUUAGAGGGACCAGCGGUGUGGCAACCGCGCGAAAUUGAGCAAUAACAGGUCUGUGAUGCCCUUAGAUGUCCGGGGCCGCACGCGCGCUACACUGAAAGAGACAGCGAGGCAGGCGGGUACAGCUCUGACAAGGGCUUGUUAAACUCCAAACCUCUAUCGUGCUAGGGAUUAGGGUUUGAAACUGUUGCCUAUGAACGAGGAAUUCCCAGUAAGGGCGAGUCACUAGCUUGUGCUGAUUACGUCCCUGCCCUUUGUACACACCGCCCGUCGCUACCACCGAGCUUGCGGUUUAGUGAGGCUGUUGGAGGCGUCCUGGUUGCCGGCGUGCGGGGACGGUCGGCCCCCUAACUGGGGUGGGCCAACCCGCACUAGGUCGGCUUCAAGUGGUGCGAGCAAGGCAUUCAAACUUGACCGCUUCUAGGAGGUAAA
rnacentral:rRNA from 1 species